rnacentral:lncRNA from 1 species
UAACAACAUCAUCAUUCCUGGGCAAAUAUUAUAUUAUGUUUGACUGCAUAAGAAACAAGCACCGAGUGUCCCACUUACAUCAAUGUCCUUGACCUUUACAUUCUUAGUUUUCACCAGGUUUGGAUUCUCAAUCUCGAUCUGACUUGCUAUGCCUUUGUGUUUCUAACAAUGAUAAUGAAAGUAGUUUAUCAUAUGAUCGAACAACAAUGAAGACUAUGGAAUCUGUAUAUUUCAAAAUGAUAUAACGUCAUACUGGUUUUGUAAAAUCUUCUGAUUAUUCUUCUGGUCCCCCUUUCCCUCUUCUAUUG